rnacentral:misc_RNA from 1 species
GAGCUCCUCGUCGAUAGGUUGUGCCUUCGCGUAUAGACGGUUGUGCUUGUUCUGCGACUUCGACAACGCAACGAUCGACGACUCGGCCUUAACGGUCUCACGGUAACCGACGACGGGGUCAGAGAUCUUGAGCGGGACACCAGCGUGGUCCUCUUGGAGAUCUUUCAAGCAAAUCUCCAAGUGAAGCUCACCAGCACCGGCGACGAUGUGCUCGCCGGAAUCCGAGAUCGACGUCUGCACGCACGGGUCGGACUUCGAGAGACGCUUAAGACCUUCGACGAGCUUGGGAAGAUCGGCGGCGUUCUUGACCUCGACGGCGACCUGCACGAC